UACGGAGGGUGCAAGCGUUAUCCGGAUUCACUGGGUUUAAAGGGUGCGUAGGUGGACAAGUAAGUCAGUGGUGAAAUCCCCGAGCUUAACUCGGGAACUGCCGUUGAUACUAUUUGUCUUGAAUAUCGUGGAGGUAAGCGGAAUAUGUCAUGUAGCGGUGAAAUGCUUAGAGAUGACAUAGAACACCAAUUGCGAAGGCAGCUUGCUACGCGGUAAUUGACACUGAGGCACGAAAGCGUGGGGAGCAAACAGG
rnacentral:rRNA from 1 species